UAACUGACGUUCAUGCUCGAAAGUGUGGGUAUCAAACAGGAUUAGAUACCCUGGUAGUCCACACGGUAAACGAUGGAUACUCGCUGUUGGCGAUAUACUGUCAGCGGCUUAGCGAAAGCGUUAAGUAUCCCACCUGGGGAGUACGCCGGCAACGGUGAAACUCAAAGGAAUUGACGGGGGCCCGCACAAGCGGAGGAACAUGUGGUUUAAUUCGAUGAUACGCGAGGAACCUUACCCGGGCUUAAAUUGCAAAGGAAUGAUUUGGAAACAGGUCAGUCUUCGGACCUUUGUGAAGGUGCUGCAUGGUUGUCGUCAGCUCGUGCCGUGAGGUGUCGGCUUAAGUGCCAUAACGAGCGCAACCCUCGCCGCCAGUUACUAACAGUUAAAGCUGAGGACUCUGGCGGGACUGCCAUCGUAAGAUGUGAGGAAGGUGGGGAUGACGUCAAAUCAGCACGGCCCUUACGUCCGGGGCUACACACGUGUUACAAUGGGCGGUACAGAAGGCAGCUACCUGGCGACAGGAUGCCAAUCCCUAAAGCCGCUCUCAGUUCGGACUGGAGUCUGCAACCCGACUCCACGAAGCUGGAUUCGCUAGUAAUCGCGCAUCAGCCACGGCGCGGUGAAUACGUUCCCGGGCCUUGUACACACCGCCCGUCAAGCCAUG
rnacentral:rRNA from 1 species